UUUGGAGUCGAGAUAUUUGUGUUUUGAAGUGAAGUUUUUGUCAGUGUAUGUGCUUACACCUACCAAAAACAAAAUUAUACAAAUUAUAAUAACCAAUUAAAACGCUGCGUCCUAGUUUGGCUGUAGUUUGUUUACCUUGAACAUUUCCAUAAUGGCUUUUGAGUGCCAUAUAUGUAAAAAGUCUUUUGGAAAGAAAUCCAAUUUUAAUAGACACCUUGCAGAAGUUCAUAAACUAAAUAAACCUUCUAGUAGUGAUAGUAAUAGAAAACUGGGAAACAAUCGCUGCUUGGAACAAGGAGAUGAUGACAGUCUUUGUGGCAUUAUUUUUUCAAACAUAAAAUCUCUAAUUGAGCAUUUACAGAUCACUCAUAAUAAGAACUUUAAUAUUGAGUUGAAUCAGAUGGAGAACAUGCAAGGUAUGAUCAGUCUAAAACACAAAUAAAAUUGAGUUUAUUUUUAGAAUUUACACAAUGGAAAAUCAAAAUAGAGGCUCAAAAUAAAUGUUGUUACAUUCUGAAAUCAAAGAAAUCUAGUACAAGUGGUGAAGUACUACAUUAUAUUUGCAAUAGAAGCAAAGCAAGUUAUACACCACUUUUCAAUGAGUGCAGAAAAAGACUGCAAAAAAGUCAAGGGUCAUGUAAAUUAGAGCACAACUGCACCAGUUUUAUUAAUAUGAAAAAUGAAAGUGGUGCCUUACUGGUUGAAUGGCAAAAAGAACAUUACGGCCACACAAACGAUUUGGAGCAUAUAAGAAUUCCUUCACAUGAAAAAGAAAGUAUUACCUCCAAACUCAUAAGUGGAGUUCCUCCUCGAAGGAUUUUGGAAACAAACCAAGAUAGAAUUGGAACUGACUUAAAAAGAAUUGAUCUUUUAACGCAUCAAGAUAUCAAAAACAUUGAUGCCAGCUUUGGAGUUGAAGGAAAAGAUGGAAAUGGAAGUAAAGAAGAUGCAUUCUCAGUUGAGUUAUGGGUCAGAGAAUGUGAAGCCUGGGAUGUAAAUCCCGUUUUAUUUUAUAAGCGAUAAGGGCAAGAGCAUGCCAUUCUAAAGAAAGAAGAUUUUUGUCUUGUGAUUAUGAACAACUUUCAAAGGAAUAUGAUCAAAAAACUUCAAAAAAUUAUUACUGUUGACAGCAUGCAUGGCUUGAAUUCAUAUAACUUUGAAUUGACCACUGUAAUGGUAAUAGAUGAAUAUCACCAUGGUUUUCCCAUUGCUGAAAUGUUUUCAAAUAGAAAGAAUACCACCAUUCAACAUCUCUAUUUUUCUCUUAUAAAGGAAACAGUAGGUGAAGUUUGUUCUGAAAUAUGCAUGUCAGAUAUGGACGAAACAUUUUUUAAUGCAUGGAUUAUGGUGAUGGGAGUAAAAUCUGACCACUUGUUUUGCUCUUGGCAUGUAGACAGGGCGUGGCAAAGUAAUCUUACUAAGAUUGGUGAUAAGCGUGCUUCUGUUUAUAAACUGUUAAAAACUUUACAACAACACACAGUACUAGAUCAUUUUUCCUCAGCUUUAGCAAGUGCCAUGCAAAAUUUAUGCAGUGAUCCAAGCACUAAAAAAUUUGGAGAGUAUUUUAAAAAUACUUACACUCAUAAUAAUUAUAAAAAAUGGGCUUAUUGUUUUAGAGAACAUUCUUCCAUUAAUACGAAUAUGCAUUUAGAAUCAAUGCUUAAAGUCAUUAAAUAUUUUUACUUAAAGAGAAAAACAGUGAAGCGUUUGGAUAAAGGGUUAAAUGUUGUCUUACAAUAUGUGAUAUGGGAUUAAUCAUUUUAUUGCUAAAUCUGUAUCACCCUCACAUGAUCAUGAGUAUUUUUAAUUUUGUUAUGAAAUAAUUUCAGCCUAACAAUUAGACUUAUAUACUAUAUACAGGGUAAACUUGUGUAUCUGGGAUCUUGUUUGGAAAUAGUUUGCUGUGCGAUUUAGUAAUGUAAUGGUAGUAAAUGAUGUAGGUUUAGUUUUAUGAUGUUAUCAUUAGUUAACUAGAUACAAUAAACCAUUUUAAUGUUAAAAAAAUUCCUACUAAAUGCUAAAUGUUUAAACCUUUUUUUAUUUUAUUUAAAGAGUGUUCUACAAUAGAAUUAAUAUUCCAUUUUAUUUAUUAUAUUAAAUUUUUUUAUAAAACAUACAAACAUGUGUAU
rnacentral:misc_RNA from 1 species